GACGAACGCUGGCGGCGUGCUUAACACAUGCAAGUCGAACGGAAAGGCCCUGCUUUUGUGGGGUGCUCGAGUGGCGAACGGGGGAGUAACACGUGAGUAACCUGCCCUUGACUUUGGGAUAACUUCAGGAAACUGGGGCUAAUACCGGAUAGGAGCUCCUGCUGCAUGGUGGGGGUUGGAAAGUUUCGGCGGUUGGGGAUGGACUCGCGGCUUAUCAGCUUGUUGGUGGGGUAGGGGCUUACCAAGGCUUUGACGGGUAGCCGGCCUGAGAGGGUGACCAGCCACAUUGGGACUGCGAGAGGGACCAGACUCCUACGGGAGGCAGCAGUGGGAAAUAUUGCACAAUGGGCGGAAGCCUGAUGCAGAAACGCCGCGUGCGGGAUGACGGCCUUCGGGUUGUAAACCGCUUUCGCCUGUGACGAAGCGUGAGUGACGGUAAUGGGUAAAGAAGCACCGGCUAACUACGUG
rnacentral:rRNA from 1 species